rnacentral:rRNA from 1 species
GACGAACGCUGGCGGCGUGCUUAACACAUGCAAGUCGAGCGGUAAGGCCCUUUCGGGGGGUACACGAGCGGCGAACGGGUGAGUAACACGUGGGUGACCUGCCCUCAGCUCUGGGAUAAGGCCCGGGAAACUGGGUCUAAUACCGGAUAUGACUUCAUGACGCAUGUUGUGGAGUGGAAAGCCUUGUGCGGCUGAGGAUGGGCCCGCGGCCUAUCAGCCUUGUUGGUGGGGUGANGGCCUACCAAGGCGACGACGGGUAGCCGGCCUGAGAGGGCGACCGGCCACACUGGGACUGAGAUACGG